rnacentral:rRNA from 1 species
AUUGAACGCUGGCGGCAUGCAUAACACAUGCAAGUCGAACGAGUGGCGGACGGGUGAGUAAUGUCUGGGAAACUGCCCGAUGGAGGGGGCUAACUACUGGAAACGGUAGCUCAUACCGCAUACCAUCAGAUGGGCCCAGAUGGGAUUAGCUUGUUGGUGGGUUAACGGCUCACCAAGGCAACGAUCCCUAGCUGGUAUGAGAGGAUGACCAGCCACACUGGAACUGAGACACGGUCCAGACUCCUACGGGAGGCAGCAGUGGGGAAUAUUGCACAAUGGGGGCAAGCCUGAUGCAGCCAUGCCGCGUGUAUGAAGAAGGCCUUCGGGUUGUAAAGUACUUUCGGCGGGGAGGCGUUACCCGCAGAAGAAGCACCGGCUAACUCCGUGCCAGCAGCCGCGGUAAUAC